AACGCUAGCUACAGGCUUAACACAUGCAAGUCGAGGGUCAGCAUGGUCUUAGCUUGCUAAGGCCGAUGGCGACCGGCGCACGGGUGAGUAACACGUAUCCAACCUGCCGUCUACUCUUGGACAGCCUUCUGAAAGGAAGAUUAAUACAAGAUGGCAUCAUGAGUCCACAUGUUCACAUGAUUAAAGGUAUUCCGGUAGACGAUGGGGAUGCGUUCCAUUAGAUAGUAGGCGGGGUAACGGCCCACCUAGUCUUCGAUGGAUAGGGGUUCUGAGAGGAAGGUCCCCCACAUUGGAACUGAGACACGGUCCAAACUCCUACGGGAGGCAGCAGUGAGGAAUAUUGGUCAAUGGGCGAGAGCCUGAACCAGCCAAGUAGCGUGAAGGAUGACUGCCCUAUGGGUUGUAAACUUCUUUUAUAAAGGAAUAAAGUCGGGUAUGCAUACCCGUUUGCAUGUACUUUAUGAAUAAGGAUCGGCUAACUCCGUGCCAGCAGCCGCGGUAAUACGGAGGAUCCGAGCGUUAUCCGGAUUUAUUGGGUUUAAAGGGAGCGUAGAUGGAUGUUUAAGUCAGUUGUGAAGGUUUGCGGCUCAACCGUAAAAUUGCAGUUGAUACUGGAUAUCUUGAGUGCAGUUGAGGCAGGCGGAAUUCGUGGUGUAGCGGUGAAAUGCUUAGAUAUCACGAAGAACUCCGAUUGCGAAGGCAGCCUGCUAAGCUGCAACUGACAUUGAGGCUCGAAAGUGUGGGUAUCAAACAGGAUUAGAUACCCUGGUAGUCCACACGGUAAACGAUGAAUACUCGCUGUUUGCGAUAUACGGCAAGCGGCCAAGCGAAAGCGUUAAGUAUUCCACCUGGGGAGUACGCCGGCAACGGUGAAACUCAAAGGAAUUGACGGGGGCCCGCACAAGCGGAGGAACAUGUGGUUUAAUUCGAUGAUACGCGAGGAACCUUACCCGGGCUUAAAUUGCAGAUGAAUUACGGUGAAAGCCGUAAGCCGCAAGGCAUCUGUGAAGGUGCUGCAUGGUUGUCGUCAGCUCGUGCCGUGAGGUGUCGGCUUAAGUGCCAUAACGAGCGCAACCCUUGUUGUCAGUUACUAACAGGUUCCGCUGAGGACUCUGACAAGACUGCCAUCGUAAGAUGUGAGGAAGGUGGGGAUGACGUCAAAUCAGCACGGCCCUUACGUCCGGGGCUACACACGUGUUACAAUGGGGGGUACAGAGGGCCGCUACCACGCGAGUGGAUGCCAAUCCCCAAAACCUCUCUCAGUUCGGACUGGAGUCUGCAACCCGACUCCACGAAGCUGAAUUCGCUAGUAAUCGCGCAUCAGCCACGGCGCGGUGAAUACGUUCCCGGGCCUUGUACACACCGCCCGUCAAGCCAUGGGAGCCGGGGGUACCUGAAGUGCGUAACCGCGAGGAGCGCCCUAGGGUAAAACUGGUGACU
rnacentral:rRNA from 1 species